ACCCUUUAAUGUUUGAUGUUCUAACGUGGACCCGUGAUCCGGGUUGCGGACAGUGUCUGGUGGGUAGUUUGACUGGGGCGGUCUCCUCCUAAAGAGUAACGGAGGAGCACGAAGGUUGGCUAAUCCUGGUCGGACAUCAGGAGGUUAGUGCAAUGGCAUAAGCCAGCUUGACUGCGAGCGUGACGGCGCGAGCAGGUGCGAAAGCAGGUCAUAGUGAUCCGGUGGUUCUGAAUGGAAGGGCCAUCGCUCAACGGAUAAAAGGUACUCCGGGGAUAACAGGCUGAUACCGCCCAAGAGUUCAUAUCGACGGCGGUGUUUGGCACCUCGAUGUCGGCUCAUCACAUCCUGGGGCUGAAGUAGGUCCCAAGGGUAUGGCUGUUCGCCAUUUAAAGUGGUACGCGAGCUGGGUUUAGAACGUCGUGAGACAGUUCGGUCCCUAUCUGCCGUGGGCGCUGGAGAACUGAGGGGGGCUGCUCCUAGUACGAGAGGACCGGAGUGGACGCAUCACUGGUGUUCGGGUUGUCAUGCCAAUGGCACUGCCCGGUAGCUAAAUGCGGAAGAGAUAAGUGCUGAAAGCAUCUAAGCACGAAACUUGCCCCGAGAUGAGUUCUCCCUGAGAC
rnacentral:rRNA from 1 species